UACGUAUGGAAGGGAUAAGUGCUGAAAGCAUCUAAGCAUGAAGCCCCCCUCAAGAUGAGAUUUCCCUUGGAGUUAAUCCAGUAAGACCCCUUAGAGAUGAUGAGGUUGAUAGGUCUCGGGUGGAAGCACGGUGACGUGUGGAGCUGAGAGAUACUAAUCGGUCGAGGACUUAUCCUAAA
rnacentral:rRNA from 1 species